AGUGGUUCUAUUACUUAUGCUAUGUAAUUGUGCCAUGUGCAGGACAAAUGUGCCAAAAACCAACUAAAUUGUGAAAAGGUUCAGUUUCAGCAGCGUACCAGAUCUCGGUCUUACAUUGCACAUGCCUAUGUCGUGAAGCAAGAAAAAUACAAAAACAGUGAGCCUACUGCAAUUGAUCUCUUUGAGGAGUUGCGUUGCAGCAAAACUAAAGGUUUUAGUGAACCUGUGAAGAAAGCUAUAGAGGAUAUGCAUGCCCAGGAAGCCCUCACUUCACCAUCAGUAGAAGAUGGGCAGCAAGCUAAGGCUUCUAUUGAUGCUGUUUCCAAAGUGCUACCGAAGUCAAAUACAUUUCUGCGCAAUGUUGGAAUUCAGCAGCCCGCUGCCAAGACAACCAAUGUGAUGAAAGAGAUACAAGCUGAACUAGAUGCAAAGAAGCUAGAGUCUGUAGUACUUCAGGAGGAGCUUGAAAGAUUGAAGGUGCAGACACAGGAAUCAGAUGCAAAAGUGGAAAAACAAGCUGAGAAGAUUGAGAGCCUGAGGAAGAUGGCAGCAGAUACUCAGAGCCUCCUUGCUGGAAUAGAACCAUUUGUUUGGAUUUAGUUGUGACUGGAAAAGAGCCAUUUGUU